UUUAUAGACCACAUUAAACUAAAAUUGGAACAAUACGGAGAAGUAUAGAAUGGCCCCUACGCAAGUCUUAAGAAAAGCCCUUUAGAUUC
rnacentral:snRNA from 1 species